AUUGAACGCUGGCGGCAGGCCUAACACAUGCAAGUCGAACGAUUGGCGGACGGGUGAGUAAUGUCUGGGAAACUGCCCGAUGGAGGGGGCUAACUCCUGGAAACGGUAGCUAAUACCGCAUACCAUCGGAUGUGCCCAGCUGGGCUUAGCUAGUAGGUGGGGUAACGGCUCACCUAGGCGACGAUCCCUAGCUGGUCUGAGAGGCUGACCAGCCACACUGGAACUGAGACACGGUCCAGACUGCUACGGGAGGAAGCAGUGGGGAAUAUUGCACAAUGGGCGCAAGCCUGAUGCAGCCAUGCCGCGUGUAUGAAGAAGGCCUUCGGGUUGUAAAGUACUUUCAGCGAGGAGGCGUUACUCGCAGAAGAAGCACCGGCUAACUCCGUGCCAGCAGCCGCGGUAAUAC
rnacentral:rRNA from 1 species